rnacentral:lncRNA from 1 species
GUGCCUUUUGCCUCCCGUCAUGAUUCUGAGGCCUCCCCAGCCAUGUGGAACUGUUUGAGGCACAGAGCUGUAUAUACAAUAACAGUGAAAUUGAUCCCACUACUAAUUAUGACAAAAAUGAUCUUCCACGUAAACAGGUGGUGAAGCUCCUUAUGGUCCUGACCCUACAGUUCCUGUCCCAUGACCAGGGCCAGAUCACCAAGGAGCUGCAGCAGUUCGUCGUCAGUGGCAGCCCCAUGCGAGCACCCGAGGAAGUCACAGGUGCCCAGGCCGGAGUGCAGUGGCGUGAUCUCGGCUCGCUACAACCACCACCUCCUAGCAGCCUGCCUUGGCCUUCCAAAGUGCUGAGAUUGCAGCCUCUGCCCAGCCGCCACCCCGUCUGGGAAGUGAGGAGCGUCUCUGCCUGGCCGCCCAUCGUCUGGGAUGUGAGGAGCCCCUCCGCCCAGCAGCCGCCCCGUCUGAGAAGUGAGGAGCCCCUCAGCCCGGCAGCCACCCCAUCUGAGAAGUGAGGAGCCCCUCCACCUGGCAGCCACCCCGUCUGGGAGGGCUGUGACCGUCUAUGACAAGCCAGCAUCUUUCUUUCAAGAGACCUCUGGACCUGCAGCACCAACUCUUCAUGAAGCUGGGCGGCACGCACUCUCCGUUCAGGGCCUGAACCUGAGGACCCAGACACGGAGCGGUCGGCCUUCAUGGAGCGGGAUGCUGGGAGCGGGCUGGUGAUGCGCCUCCGCGAGCGGCCAGCCCUGCUGGUCAGCAGCACAGGCUGGACAGAGGACGAAGACUUCUCCAUCUGCUGGCAGCUUUAGAAAAGUUUGAACAACUGACUCUUGAUGGACACAACCUUCCUUCUCUCGUCUGUGUGAUAACAGGCAAAGGGCCUCCGAGGGAGUAUUACAGCCGCCUCAUCCACCAGAAGCAUUUCCAGCACAUCCAGGUCUGCACCCCUUGGCUGGAGGCCGAGGACUACCCCCGCUUCUAGGGUCGGUGGAUCUGGGUGUCUGUCUGCACACGUCCUGCAGUGGCCUGGACCUGCCCAUGAAGUUUACAUGAGCUGGUGAAACAUGAAGAAAAUGGCCUGGUCUUUGAGGACUCAGAGGAACUGGCAGCUCAGCUGCAGGUGCUUUUCUCAAACUUUCCUGAUCCUGCGGGCAAGCUAAACCAGUUCCGGAAGAACCUGCGGGAGUCGCAGCAGCUCCGAUGGGAUUAGAGCUGGGUGCAGACUGUGCUCCCUUUGGUUAUGGACACAUAACUCCUGGGCCAGAGGCUAAAACCCCGGGACCCCUGCUGUCCUUCCCACAGCUUCUUCUCAGAGUCUCAGGGCAAAUCCUUUCGAGCAGCGCCUCCCAGUGGCCAGAAGCUGAAAUGAUGGCAGUAGUGCCACCUGGUGAAUGAAUUGGUUCUGUGACCCGGG